GCAGUGCAGCUCAGUGGUAGAGUGCUUGCCUAACAUGGGUGAAGCCCUGGGUUCCAUCCCCAGUGUCGCG
rnacentral:tRNA from 1 species